GACAGAGGGUGCAAACGUUGCUCGGAAUCACUGGGCGUAAAGGGCGUGUAGGCGGGAAGGUAAGUCGGGCGUGAAAUCCCUCGGCUCAACUGAGGAACUGCCUUCCAGACUGCUUUGCUUGAGUCCGGGAGAGGUGAGUGGAAUUCCCAGUGUAGCGGUGAAAUGCGUAGAUAUUGGGAGGAACACCAGUGGCGAAGGCGGCUCACUGGACCGGAACUGACGCUGAGGCGCGAAAGCGUGGGGAGCAAACAGG
rnacentral:rRNA from 1 species